AAGAUUUCAAUUAUGCUUUAGAAAAACUCCAGUAAUAAAAACGCAGGAGGAAAUAUGACAAAAUAUCAACAGUGGGCAUAUCUGGGUAAUGAGAUUGUGCAUAACUAUUUUUCUACUUCUCUCUCCUUCAAUCUACUUCCCAAGGAGCAGAUAACUGGCUCUAUAAUUAUAAAUACAAUAAAUCAAAAUGUAAGUAAAGUCGAAUGUGCACUAAUCGAGCUUUGUUUUCCCAUAUGGUAGUGGUCCCCAUCCCGGGCUGCACUCGAGGAUCCCCCAGGAGCCUGUUCUCACCCAGGUCAGGGCUGCCCCCUACCCAGUGUCAUCACUGGUAGGCGCCACCGACAGUCUGAUGAGAAACAGCUGGCAAUUUUGAAUCAGAAGCUGAAAGUGGCUCACUGGUGUUAUCAAUACACACACAGCUUCGCUCUUAUUUUGAAGUCACAGAGAACCAGUGCAGCUACACGAUUAGAGCUGACCGGCUGAGCGUUUUGUGAUCUGAAUUAUCAGCACCUGGAGAGCAGGGCGCCUCCCAAUGAGUGUUGAUCUCAGCGCUGGCAGCCCUUUCUCCCCAUUUUGACCUGUUUUGCCAUUUCUCUCAAUUGCCUCCCUGGCUCUCUCUAAGAAGCAGGGACGAGAAAGGACCGCUGAGGAAACUGAAGAGGCCAAGAGUUGAUUCUGUGCCCAGCUCAGACCGUGGCUGAUGCUCAGAGGCACGUGGGCUCUUGGAGGGUGGGGAUGAGCUGGGCAGCCCCAUGGCUCCGCCUGGCAGGGCCCCCAUGCUGUGCUUCUGUGUGCUCCACAGCGGCCAGUUCCAGGCACGGGGCAUCCCUGGUGCACUUGGCAGGUGAUUGACUCAGUGCCGCGAUCGCCACGGGACCUUUUGAGGAUGAUGCCCAGAAUCUCUGUUUUACUCCGAGGAACACAGCAGCUGCCAAGCUGCUAAGCAGGAGUUCUCAUGGUAGACGUUGGAAUUACCCAGCCACCACCCUGAUGGGACGCUUUCUGAAUGCAGAUGGAAACAACGACUUAACCGCAGCUUCGGAUGCAUCACACACAAAUGCUGGAUAAAGCUGCUCACUCACACGAAGCACCACCUGCUGCCGCUACCUGGAAUAUCCACAAUAUUCGAAGCUUGGUGGAAACAGAAGUUGGAAAAAAUAGAAAAUAAAACAAAAGGAUAGAAGGAGGGUGCUCUGAAUUCCAUUUCCUUAUAUAACAACAAGAGCUCCUUCAGUUUGUCGUGGACACCUUCAGGUGAGCACAGCUCAGGCACCGCAAGGACACUCCGCUGAGAAACAAAGACCACACUUAGUCCUCAUGAGAUACACGGGUGGUCUUUCAAGAGACCAUCAGAAAGAGGCUGCUUGGGUCCCGUCCGAGGAGAGACAGAAGACUGAGCCGUGGCGUACACUAUUAUCUGAUGCAACAGCCUUUUCUGCAGGAUAUUAAAGGACUGUAUAAAUAUUAAUUAUCUCAUUCAUCCUCAUCACUUUGUGUGAGACAAAGACAUUAUACAUGGCCAGUCACCCAUUUCACUAGGCUAAGUAUCUAAAGCCACCUUCCACAUGUAAUCGUUAACAUUUUGAAAUACUUUCACCUUUUUAUUAUUCAGAGAUGUUGAGUUUAUGAAGGACUCGAUCCUUUUCGGUUCUUUCUGC